rnacentral:rRNA from 1 species
GACGUAGGGGGCCAGCGUUGUUCGGAAUUACUGGGUGUAAAGGGUUCGUAGGCGGUGCGGCAAGUCGGGAGUGAAAUCUCUGGGCUUAACCCAGAGGCUGCUUCCGAAACUGCUGUGCUUGAGUGUGGGAGAGGCGCGUGGAAUUGCAGGUGUAGCGGUGAAAUGCGUAGAUAUCGGGAGGAACACCAGUGGCGAAGGCGAUCUUCUGGACGGAUACUGACGCUGAGGCGCGAAAGCUAGGGGAGCAAACGGG